rnacentral:rRNA from 1 species
UACGGGGGGGGCAAGCGUUGUUCGGAAUUAUUGGGCGUAAAGGGCGCGUAGGCGGCCAUGCGUGUCUUCCGUGAAAUCCCUCGGCUUAACCGAGGACGUGCGGAAGAAACUGCAAGGCUCGAGUCCGGAAGAGGGGGGCGGAAUUCCCAGUGUAGCGGUGAAAUGCGUAGAUAUUGGGAGGAACACCAGUGGCGAAGGCGGUCCCCUGGGCCGGAACUGACGCUGAGGCGCGAAAGCGUGGGUAGCAAACGGG